UGGAAGAGGUCGUGCCUAGUCCUUCAGUGACUUGAUGUGCCAGGCAGUAUGCAAGCUGCCUCUCAUCUCUGGCUGCUCAGAACACUGCCAGGGCAUCCUCACUGUUCAACAAAUAACUGUCAAAGGCACAAUGGGCUCGUUGAGUAAGCUGCACCCAUUAAGAUGUUUUGGGCCACAAGCGGACUCCUGACUGGAAGAGUUUAAGUAAUGGGAGUUCUGGCUUCUGUGAAUAGCGGCAGGUCACAGGAAAUGGAAGCAAGGCCCAUCAGACCCAAGUGGACCAGAAAGACACUCUCUUCACCCGAGGAGCCCGAGAAAGUCACCUCAGCUCCACUCAGCUCUAAAUGUGAAUGGCAUAUUACCUAGCCACUCCAAGUGUCAUUAACGGAAUUCAGGAGCCUAUGAAAUGACGUGGUCUUGAUGAAACUCUGUCAGAGCUUGGCAUACCCUGCCCUUUGUUUCUCUACUCCUCUACCUGCAGCAGACCUUCAGGGAGCAAGCUGAGAUGGUCUAGGACUGAAACAGCACAGUGGGAAAGCUGAGGGGUCAUGCCAAAGGACUUUCACCCUGAUGCUCCUGACUUACGUGCAUUUCCAACGGGCUUCAUUCUAAAUGUUUGCUACACUUUAUUAUUAAUUUAUUGUAUUGCAUGUAUGUGCAUUCAGACCUUCCCCAGGCAUAUGGAGAUGCCUUGUUGGUGUAGGAUGCACACUGCAGCCUCUUAUGUGGUAGGCUCAUACAUGUUCUAUAUUGCUAGCUACCAUCUCUUUAUGCUACUGAGAUUAUUUUAAGUUUAAAAUGAGUAACAACCAUUUAGCCAGGCAUAAAUGGUACAGACCUGUAGUCCUUAAUACUGAGGAAGAUCAGACAAAAGGGUCAGAAGUUCAGUGUUGGCCAUAGCUAGGGAAUGAGUUCCACGCCAAUCUGGCAACUAAGUAAGAAACUAUGUUGAGAUAAAUAUGAAGAGGGGGUUAGGAAGAAAGUCACCAACAACCUUAUCUAGCACCAACUCUGUGAAUUAUAAGAGUGACUGCCUGGCAAAGUGUACCCAUGGUUCCAUAAUAACACACACACAAAAAAUGUGAUAGGGAUAACCAUAGCUGACGGUGUUCUGAUUGGAUCAAGGCCUGCUCCAAACAAGGGAAGCGGGCAAGGUAGUGUCAAUCUUGCAAGGACCUUGAGUGUGGCACUCAUGGGUCAAGGCUGAACCUACUGCUUCUAUUUUGUUAAGCUGGCAUCACAGCAUCACACAGCUCUCUGAAUCUACAUCUCUAUGCCCAGGGACUGCUGCUUAUAUUCAUUCUCAUCAAAAAAGGUUUUCAGUUUGGUUUGGUUUAGUUUUUUUCAGUGAACAGUGGUUACACAAAGACUCAUAGUAAGCCAAAGAGCCAGACAUAAGUAUGAGCAGCAGACUAGGGAAGGGAAGCAGGAGGAGAGCACUGACUAAUCCUGCAGAGGACUCAGGUUCAAUUCACAACACCGAUCUGGAAGCUCACAACUACCUGAAACUUCAAUUCUAGAGGGACAUGAUACCUUCUUCUGGCCUCCACUGGCUCCCGCAUGCAUGUGCUGAAUAUAAAAUCAUACUUGCAAACACACAUACACAUAAAUAAAAUAAUUUUUUGCUUUAAAAAAAAACCGUGUCAAUGGAGUGUUCAG